UUCAGAGGGUGCGAGCGUUAAUCGGACUUACUGGGCGUAAAGGGUGCGUAGGCGGGAGAUUAAGUUAGUUGUGAAAGGCCUGGGCUUAACCUAGGAAUUGCAAUUAAGACUGGUCAUCUAGAGUUGAGUAGAGGGGAGCGGAAUUUCCGGUGUAGCGGUGAAAUGCGUAGAUAUCGAGAGGAACACCUGCGGCGAAGGCGGGUUGCUGGGCUGACACUGACGCUGAGGCGCGAAAGCUAGGGGAGCGAACGGG
rnacentral:rRNA from 1 species